GAUGAACGCUGGCGGCGUGCCUAAUACAUGCAAGUCGAGCGAACAGACGAGGAGCUUGCUCCUCUGACGUUAGCGGCGGACGGGUGAGUAACACGUGGAUAACCUACCUAUAAGACUGGGAUAACUUCGGGAAACCGGAGCUAAUACCGGAUAAUAUAUUGAACCGCAUGGUUCAAUAGUGAAAGACGGUUUUGCUGUCACUUAUAGAUGGAUCCGCGCCGCAUUAGCUAGUUGGUAAGGUAACGGCUUACCAAGGCAACGAUGCGUAGCCGACCUGAGAGGGUGAUCGGCCACCCUGGAACUGAGACCCGGUCCAGACUCCUACGGGAGGCAGCAGUAGGGAAUCUUCCGCAAUGGGCGAAAGCCUGACGGAGCAACGCCGCGUGAGUGAUGAAGGUCUUCGGAUCGUAAAACUCUGUUAUUAGGGAAGAACAAAUGUGUAAGUAACUAUGCACGUCUUGACGGUACCUAAUCAGAAAGCCACGGCUAACUACGU
rnacentral:rRNA from 1 species